UACGGAAGGCAGCAGUAGGGAAUCUUCCGCAAUGGACGAAAGUCUGACGGAGCAACGCCGCGUGAACGAUGAAGGCUUUCGGGUCGUAAAGUUCUGUUGUUAGGGAAGAACAAGUACCGGAGUAACUGCCGGUACCUUGACGGUACCUAACCAGAAAGCCACGGCUAACUACGUGCCAGCAGCCGCGGUAAUACGUAGGUGGCAAGCGUUGUCCGGAAUUAUUGGGCGUAAAGCGCGCGCAGGCGGUCCUUUAAGUCUGAUGUGAAAGCCCACGGCUCAACCGUGGAGGGUCAUUGGAAACUGGGGGACUUGAGUGCAGAAGAGGAGAGUGGAAUUCCACGUGUAGCGGUGAAAUGCGUAGAGAUGUGGAGGAACACCAGUGGCGAAGGCGACUCUCUGGUCUGUAACUGACGCUGAGGCGCGAAAGCGUGGGGAGCGAACAGGAUUAGAUACC
rnacentral:rRNA from 1 species